rnacentral:rRNA from 1 species
UACGUAGGGGGCAAGCGUUAUCCGGAUUUACUGGGUGUAAAGGGAGCGUAGACGGCGAUGCAAGCCAGAUGUGAAAGCCCGCGGCUCAACUGCGGUAGUGCAUUUGGAACUGUAUGGCUGGAGUGCAGGAGAGGUAAGUGGAAUUCCUAGUGUAGCGGUGAAAUGCAUAGAUAUUAGGAGGAACACCAGUGGCGAAGGCGGCUUACUGGACUGUAACUGACACUGAGGCUCGAAAGCGUGGGGAGCAAACAGG